rnacentral:lncRNA from 1 species
AAAAGGAUGACUAACAUACCUUGUAUUUCAAGUUACCUUGCUUUACCAUUUUAUAUUUCAAUUAUUUCAAGUGGACCCCUCUUCUUUUUGUUGUGGCGCGAUUGAGAGAAAGAAAGUGAAAGGUGUGGAGGACUACUUAGUAUAUGUAACACUUUAUUUACAUCGUCAUACUACCUGGUAGUGGCUAACUUGUCAGGAUAUUUAUAGGUAAAUACAAAUAUAAAAGUACAUACAUAUAAAAUAGCUUAAGAUAGUGAAGGAGAUUGGGAGAGGGAGAAUCGGACGUAGUGAUAAUACACACCACCACCGCCUCAAUCACCAAGCCACACCAAACUGGUGGUUAAAACAAUCAAUAUAUCUAAAAAAAACAUCUUAAAUCUUUUAAUUGAAGGACCCAUAGUGAUUCAGAGCACCUGCUCGUUGGGACUUGAGGAAUAACGCCUCACGCCUCUGGAGUCUUCUCAUCCAUACAAAUAUGAAUCCAAUCCAGACCAUAGUGAUCCAUCUCAACUCCCAAAGUAGAUAAUUCUCCCUGUCGGCGCAGUUGAACGAACUCUAUCAAUAAAAAUAACACCAACGACUCCAUACCAGAGAGGUCACACGUUUUUAAAGAGCAUUGGAUUUGAUCCCCUCCUUCUCGAUGCACCAUCGUUCACCGGACAAUCUCGAUCCAUCGUCCCGUCCUAGGGAGAACCCAGUGUAUUAUCUACGGUGUAAUUUCAUCCUAUGAAUCUAAUGGAUGACCAUGAGCUAUCAGCCCGUCCAGGAAAUGACCAUCCCAUCCUCUUCGUCAGAUGUUGUGACGUCACCUAGAGAAUGAGAGGGAAAGGCGUGGAGGAGACUUAAAAUGUGUUACAUUUUAUUUACACCAUCUUCCUACCUGGUAGUGACUAACCUGUCAUGAUAAAUAUGGGUAAAUACACAUAUACAAGUACCUACAUAUAUAACUGCUCAAGAUAGUUAAGAAGAUUGAGAAACGGAUGUAAUGAUAAUCCACAAUAUUUUUAAAGGUUCUAGGUAAUUUUCCGUAAAUUUUUGCUGACGAUAAUUUUACCACCUACAUUUUUCCCCUGAUGAUUUUGCCACGAGGAGAUUUUACCAAAUGAAAUUUUUUUUACGUUUAUAUAUUAUCGGUUCAAAAUGCAAUGUUGUAUUACGAUCCCAUUUAUUAUAUAGCUAGGAAAAGAAGAAUGGAGGAAAAAAUAUCAAUAUGAGUUUGAAUUGUAUAUAUUCAGUCAAUACAUCCUUUUUUGGGAUUGCAAAUAUUAUCCCAAAAUGCAAGAGUUGCUUAAAAUACCACGUGACGUUGAUAUAGAAUUACAACUACGACAAAUUUCCAGCUUUAAAAAAAAAUUAUGUUUUUAGAGUAUAGUUAUGAUUCAGAGCAAUAUUUUGACGUGAAAUAAUUAUAUGGAUGAAAAUUAAAGUUUAAUUUUCUAAUGGAAUAUUGAAUAAAUAAGCAUAAGGUUAGGAUCAUAGACUGGCCAGCCCAAAAUCCUGACCUUAACCCUAUUGAAAAUCUAUGGACUACAUUGAAAAAAGUAGUGUGGGAAAGACACCCUUUAAAUUUGGAUGACCUUUGGAGAUUCUGUCGAGAAGAGUGGGCCAAAAUCGAUCCCAGUGUUUGCCGCCAUUUGGUAAGGACUUAUUGCAAGCGUAUUCAAUAUUUGACAUACCAGAGGUAUGUCACAAAAUAUUAAGUUAUUUUGCUCUUUGUGUAUAAAUACUUAUGAAACACCAAAAAUGAUAUUUUGUUAAUUUACUCCAAAAAAUGAAUAAGUUAAUAAUUAUUUUUUUAUUUAAGAGUAGGUUUUGAUUGACUAGGAAUAUUGUAAAUGAGUUUGUAGAUCCAACGUAAACAGUUAAUGAUGUUUUUUUGCCAUUUUUGUGAUUGUACGAAUAGUUUUGGGUUCAACUACUUGUCAUUCAUUUUAUUGGUCUAACCCCUUUUUUCUACAAAUCAAGCAAUUCCCUCAAGGGCUCCAAUAUUCCCUCAUUUAAUAGCCAAUUAAAAUUAGAGUAUAACAUACUAUAUAUAUAUAUAUAUCAAUUGAGAGCCUAAUGAUGAUGUUCAAACUUUAUUACUCUCUAAAAGUCUCUUUUUUUUCCUAUUUGUGUGCCUUUCUCGCUAUAUAAAUGUUCAUUUUAUUAUAACGUACGCCAUUAACAAUUACAUGUGACUCUCAAUUAUUAUUACUAGUUAUAUUCGAGGGAACAAAUAACAGAAAAAGCCUCAUUUGCUCCCAUAAAAUAAACUGCUGAUUAUUAUUAUAUAUAUUUUUCUUAUUGGAAACUCUACAAUUUAAGGUUCAAAUUCAAACGUAGUAAAAGACAGCAGAGUCAUUUUGAUAACAACGUUAUUCUAGAGUAGUAAUUCCCAAUUUGAACUCCACGGAGCACAAGGGCUCGUAAGGUUAGUAAGAAAUAUCCUCAAAAAUUUCCUAGAAAUCGACUUUUCUAAAAGAAAGUCGAGGAAAAAUAAAAAAAUUCAAGACCUAAACGUGGAUGUUGUAUUAGUCCUAGGACUGGUUGUCUUAUUAUUCUCUCCCGCCCCACCCUUUUAAGACUUUUUUUUUAUCAUAAAGACCUUUUUUAAUUUUCAACGUUCCUAAGGAUCAAUACCUUGGUCUUUCAGUAAUACCGUCCUCGCUUAUUUUUAUUAACUCCUAGCUAGGAUUGAAGAAUAUAAGGAUCAAGAAAAUGAUGAAUGAUGGCUAGAACGUAUAAUAAUACGUUCUAGUCACACUUCUUACUUUUAAUUUCAGGUAUCUUGUCUCUUUGGAAUAGGUUAUUAUUAAUUAUGAUGACAGUUCAUCGACUCAAAUGACAUAGGUAGUGUUAACUAUCCACGUCAUAACUAUUCUCAAAAAUUGAAAUGUUUGGAAAUCAAUUUCAAAAAUCCAGAGCUUUUCACAAAAAUUAAAUUUUUCUGAGAACAAGUUUCAAAAUCUACAGGCACUUACAAAAAAAUAAACGAUUAAUCGUCUCAUCACUAAUUUUUACAUUCACUGAUAAAAAGUACGUUCUAGGGAAGCAGGAAAGUGGGGAUUUCCCAUGAUUCUUUGAUCUUAUAAAAUAUAUAAUAAUUUACAGUGGUUAUUAUAUUAACAAUGAAAACAUGUUUUUAAUUAUAUUCAAUACUCUAUAAUAAGAAUGAGUACUCAAGAAAUUACGUUUGUUAAAGUUAUCUUGAGUACAUUUUACCUUUUUUUUCGUGAUUGAUUUGUUCAGGAUAAAGUUUAUUAUUUAGAGUAGAAUAAAAGGAUUGAUUAAGAUGCAAAAUAUGUAAGAAUGAUGAGAGAUGAAAGUCAUAUGUUGUAAGAUUAUUAACUGAAUUAAUCAAAUUAAAAAUAUUUUGUUAUUACAUAGUAAUUAAUUUUAUUGGAUUAUUAUCAAAGCGAUACUCACUUUAAAUAGAUUUUUGUUUGCUUUCCAUAUUCUCGUAAAUAUUACGAACAAAAAAUAUCCUAAAUUAGAUAUACAAACUAGUCAUUACAUCAUAUUAACAAACACAUAAUUACUACAUUAUAUAAGUUAUAACUUUUAAUCCGAAACAAGUUUAGACCUCAGUACCUUGGCAAAUGAGAUGUUAUCUCAAUACCAAUACCGGACGGCCAUUAUUGUGUGCUUCCAUACCGAAUACACGUCAAAGAAGAUGAUUUACUAUGUUGCCCAAAUCAACUGUUUACAAUGUUGCAAUGGCUUUCAAGGAGUCUGUUGGUUUGGGAACUCCUGCAAGAAAGACUCAUGAUUCUAAGGGGAAACAAACGCACUCCAAACUUCCUGAAGCAAAAUGGGAAUGGAAAUUUGGCUUCCUAGCUCUCCGAAUCGGAACUCUAGGACCACUAUUAGUGGAGCGUCUAGGAGAGAGUCCAAUAAACUAUUAUUUAAAAUUUAAAAGAAGAUGCAUUUGACUCAACCAACGCAAUAAAAUAUCAAUGUUUAGAGGAUCAGUAACAUUUAAUCGAUUUCGUCUCCAUUGGAGACCUCUUCAGAAAUAAUAAUAUAACAAUAUUCUUUAGUUUUCAAACUUUCACAAAAAAAUAAAAACAUUAAAAUUUAUUCCUAGGAAUAUUUAGAAUAAUAAAUCAAUAAUAUAUACGUGUACAAUAAAUUAUGAAUAUAUUAUGAUUAAAAACAUUAAAGAAUCGGCAUCGGUUGACUGCUUGCAAGCUUCAAUUCUCGCAAUUCCAGCAUCAAGGCCAAGUUAAAGACUGUGGUUGUAGAUGGAAGUGGUGGGUUUGAGUGAUUUAUUUCACCAUGGUCCCCUACGUUUAAGAGAAAAAGAUUUGUGAAUUGUUGAAUUAAUUUUGGAAAAUAAAUUGUAAUUUACA